rnacentral:tRNA from 1 species
CUUGAUGUCUAAGUGCUUAAUUCUUAGGCAAGAUCCUGUCACCUUAGGUCGAUCGGUACCUCAGAUUUAUAACUCUGAUUAUGAAUUUUAGUUCCUAAACUUUGUCUAGGUCACACCCCGCAAGGUUACUCCUGGGCAUUAGCUCAGGUGGUUAGAGCGCACCCCUGAUAAGGGUGAGGUCCCUGGUUCAAGUCAGGAUGGCCCAUUCGGUGUUGGGGGUUUAGCUCAGUUGGUAGAGCGCCUGCUUUGCAAGCAGGAUGUCAGCGGUUCGAGUCCGCUAACCUCCACUGUUCAACCUUCUUCAACGCCAAAAGUUGAGGAGCAAUUGUGUGAUGUGACUUGGAUUUAGUCCGCUGAAGGAACCUAGCUUCUUUUCAUACCAGAAUUAUUUUUUAGUUCAGGCUGAAAGGAUGCUGGGCUCAUUGAGAUUUAAACAAUCUCAAAGAAGUUCAGCAGAACCUUGACAACUGCAUAGGUGAGUCUGGAAAGAAUAAAAGCAUCUCAUGGAUAUGUUUUCUUUUCUGCUUAAAUUAAGUACGAAAGGAAUAACCUAAAGAUUCUUGAGUAAGAGCUGAGUUCUUAUAGUG